rnacentral:rRNA from 1 species
AGUAGUUUGAUCCUGGCUCAGAACGAACGCUGGCGGCAGGCCUAACACAUGCAAGUCGAGCGCGCCCUUCGGGGUGAGCGGCGGACGGGUGAGUAACGCGUGGGAACGUGCCCUUUUCUACGGAAUAGUCUCGGGAAACUGGGGGUAAUACCGUAUACGCCCUUCGGGGGAAAGAUUUAUCGGAGAAGGAUCGGCCCGCGUUGGAUUAGGUAGUUGGUGGGGUAAUGGCCUACCAAGCCGACGAUCCAUGGCUGGUUUGAAAGGAUGAUCAGCCACACUGGGACUGAGACACGGCCCAGACUCCUACGGGAGGCAGCAGUGGGAAUCUUAGACAAUGGGCGCAAGCCUGAUCUAGCCAUGCCGCGUGAGCGAUGAAGGCCUUAGGGUUGUAAAGCUCUUUCAGGGGGGAAGAUAAUGACUGUACCCCCAGAAGAAGCACCGGCUAACUACGUG